GAUUUCCAUGUUGUUCUGUAUGCAGAUUCUAUGCCAGGUCGGCCUUGCCGUAUCCACCUCGUGGAUACGGCCUUACGUCACUUCGCCUUCCCGAGUCGAGGUCUCAUCACACUAAAUGCGAAUUAAGGAUACGGUUUUUUUGACAACCCUUUCAAUGAGCACCAACUUUGAUGAUAAGGUUUGAUUAUUAUCUAGUAUAUCAGCUAGUGUAAUAGCAAUAUGUGGGCAUAAGUGUUUAUUGGAGUUUAGAUAUUAUAUGUAUGGAUCACUUUAAACAUCUGUACGGUCUAGGAAUUUAAUUUCAGUACCAUUUCGUACCGUGUCACUGUUUCAAAGUACGAAAUGGCAUUGAAAUUAUAUUAUUUGAUUGUACAAUAUAAACGUCUGUCGAAUAUCACGGGAAGUCUCAGUUGUUGUUUAAGCUCGAGUCAUCCACGAUUACGCGCAGAUUUGCCAAAUCUAACCUUUAAUAAUACGAGUCAAGGCACGCGUGGUCGUGAAUGACACGAUAUGUAGCGGUGCCCCCAUACCUUUACUUCUGAUGUUUUUUAACCUAUUCGCCGCCAUUGACUUGGUAUAUAGUCAGUACAUUUAGUGGCUCACACGUCACUUGAUAUGUUACUUGGAGACGACUUAUCUGUAAUUUUCGGUACAACACCGUCUGCCGAUUUUUGCGGGGGACGGGCACAUCAAAUGUAUGCCAUGUCUGAUAAACGCCAGUCCAUACAAUACCUAUGGCCAUUAAAGCUCUUAAAGGCGAUUCUGGUUGUUAAAUCCACUUAGGUUAUACGGGUUGACUACGUGCAAUUUAUGACAUGGCGUUGAUUAUUACUUCAACUUUGCGAUAUUGUUAAAACGGCGAGUAAAAUUGCUAUUAAAAUGUAUUUUAUAUACAGGGCCCGUACUUUUCAUGCCGUUGACGCAAAAAUGACGUAAUUUAACAUACAGGGAGUUUUUUUUACAAUAUGUACUACAAAUUUAGAUUACUUAUUGACGGGUAUCAAAAUUAAAACUUGUUACGUGAGUAAAAGCUUGUUAGGCUGAUAAAAAUCAAAAAUAUGUAUUAUUUAAUAAAUUAAUAAUCUAUUAUUUAUUUGAGUGACAAUAAGAUGAAAGUCAGACGUUUCUGUACUGAUUGUCAAGUAUAUGUAUCAGUUACCUAAAUAGGUUGACAAAUGAUUAAUUAUUACGAAAAUACUAAUUGGAAUCAUACUCUAUGUAGCUUGACGUAAUUUUUCUGUCAACGGCAUGAAAUGUACGGGCCCUGCUUAUAUAUUUUGAUGUAAUUUCCAGUUGCUAAGCUUAUGAAGCGGAACUCAUAUGCCAAACUAUUUAAGCUUUUGAACGCCAUCUGUCAACAAGAACGACACGCAAGAGCCAAUAUCCCUGGCAUGAGCUAGCAACAAACCGUAUUGACAACGUUCUUGCGUUCGUUAUAAGCGUUCUUGGCGCCUUCUUACGACGCCUUUGAGGGUUCUGGGCGUUCAAAGGGUUAAUAAUGUUUAUUACAGUAUUUUGCACUUAUCAAAAGAGGCUUAAACUUAUUGAAACGUAGAUUCCAGUUUUGUCGGAUCCUGAUCUUUAUUUCACAUUCUUAGUAAUUAUUAUAAUAAUGAGGUAUGAAAUGGGGGUACCGAUAUUAGUGUUAGUAGAUUUGUUACAUUUAAAGUGGUAGUGUGGAGUUGACUUGACGUCUUUUUAUUAUGGCAAGCCGUUAGAAAAUAAAAAUAGUUUAAGGUGGUUCGAUUUCCAUACAAAACACGAUUGCGUUUUAUGAAGUCAUUAUACACUAUUACUACAUAAAUAUGUGCGCAUCUAUCUACUUUCAAAUAUUAGUUUGCGCUAAAUUGAUAGAAAAAGUAUGUUUCAUACAGAAACUACGCAAAAAACGUUAUUUUGGUGUUACUUUGAUAGAAAAAUAUAACGUUUAUUGCAUGAUUUCUGUAUGAAACAUAGUUUUUCUAUCAAUUUAGUGCAAACUAAUAGUCGAAAGUAGAUAGAUGCGCACAUAUUUAUGUAGUAAUAGUGUAUAAUGACUUCAUAAAACGCAAUUGUUUUUUGUAUGGAAAUCGAACCACCUUAAUAUCUGAGUAUUUUUAUAUUUCGUCAUAGUUCUGUCGUCUGACUUCGUCGUAUGACUUAUUGAAAUAAGUCUGUCAGCGUUCAAGCGAUUUUUUCAUUUUUGUUCAUUUCCAUUGUUUAACGAAUACCAUAAUUUGACAUUGAAUUUCCAUUGCGUGGCAAAUAAUAUUUGUGUUUUUCUUCCUUAAUAAAGUAGCGACGCUGUCCAUGUAAAUUUUCGUACAUUGCCCCGCCUGGUGUUAUUUCUAUUGCAUGCGCAUAAUUAUAUUGCUGUCAAGGUCGCACAGUGACAUUGACAACCGAUAACAUGAGCGGGACAGCAGUAUAAUCAUGCGCGUGCAAUAGAGAUAGCAAUAGCCGAGUCAAUGUACGAAAAUCUAUCUGGAAAGACGCUUUAGUGACAAGUAACCUCCAUACGACCACACUAUCCUCGUGCCGCCCAUCAUACAAAAAUAUUGCCGGGGAAGUUUGAAUCUAGCUGUGUUUUUAAUACGGUUGAAUUUAUUUUAUCGAAAAUUUUAUGACUCAAAAAAUAUGCUACUUUGUUUAUACAAGGUAUUCCACGUAUUCCUGCAUAAGAAGGAAAAAAAAUCUUAUACAAAUUUCAGUCCAUUCCAAUUUUUUUUUUACUUUUUGUAUUUUUUUAAACAUAUUAAGUACAUGUUCUUGGAAAAUUUAUGGAUUUAUAUGAUACAUUUUUAGUGUUCCGUACAAAACUUUGUUCACAAAACACUGGUUUUGCAAAUCGGUUAUAUGCGAUUUUUUUUCGUAAAAACUAGUCUAUUCAAAGUGUUCCUUGUCACUUUGCUAUCUGUCAAUAAGGACGUCUAGACUAGAUCCCAUAGUGGGGACAUCGCCAUCAAAAAGGCGUUUUGCAUGGAAACACAAUAAAACCCGUUUUUUUUCAAUGGUAUUAACUCUGAAAGCAUGCGAAUUAAAUAAAAGAAUAUAUGACAUCUUUGUCUCUAAAUACGAUUCGGAAUAUACUGCUAAAGACUUUCCGUUUCCUCGCGGGCAAUUCCUUUAAAAAAGAGUGUACAUCGUAUAACUGGGCGGCACGAGUCUGUAUAUAAAUUGUUAGUGCGCCUUUAGACCGCUAGAUUGCGCAAUGUAAGAUAUUAGAUACUAUAUAUGUAAAUAUGCCUAGGGCUCCUGAAAACGCGGGAAGUGCAAUCCAGCUUUGUUAGUUACAGCCAAAUUAGUGCCAAAACUUAUAAUAGUAUUUAAUUCUGUUAUGUUAGUUUUUCCUGUUACUUUAUGUUAAUAAAUCUUAUCUUAUCUUACUAAACUUUCUACUACGCCUUUACUGUUAUAUCUUCUUAAUGUUGUGGAAACAUUCCUAUUUUUCAUAUAAAAAAAAACAUAAUGAAGAGUUUUACAGUUCUCGAAUUUAACGGCGUUCAUUGUGACGAAUAAAUACUGCCCAUAUUAUAGUCUGUUCUUUUAUUCCGUUGACUAAAAUGACAACCACAAAUGUCAAACGCAGAAAUAAUGUGACCAGCUUAAAACAAACAGUGCUGAUCUUUGAUUUCGGUUUGUGAAUAACCGAUAAAUAUUAAAUUAAUUUUAGAUCCAAAAUAAACAAUUAAUGAAAUCUACGCACUACAUGAUAGGAAGUAAAUAAUAAAUAAAAUCUACUCACUGCUAAUCCAUUCAAACAUUUAAAAAUUGCAUUAUGAGCUUCGAGGUGACUGUUCAUCUUACAAUAAAAUCGCUUUUAAAUAUUAGAAAUAUUGUGUUUAGACCUGGAUACAAACUUUCUAAAUGCCUCAAAAUAGUGUUACAUGCCUAUAUAAGUAACUCCCAAUAGUUUAUUUUCGGUUAGUACCGGUUGCAGCACAUCACUAUUUAUAAGACGUCAAAAACCAGCAACACAUGAAAUGUCAUUUUAGUCUACGGGAUAAAAAAAUAGACUAUAUGUUGUUAUUAUAUUACGUUACGCAAAGAAUGUUGAAUUUCUUUCUCUACGUACUAAUUUAUAACUCAUCUAGAAUCUUCUUUAAAUCAUAUUAAUUGCCUUCUUAAACCAAAUAUAUCUAAUAAAAUAAAUAAAUUUUGCUUGUUUCUUCCUUAUAGCAUGAUUUAAGUUACCAAGACUAUGUAACAGCAGUUAUGUAAUAUAAAUAGGUGUAAUAUAAUAUAGUCUUCGUACUCGGUCAUUCGCGGAUGGUCUAGAACGCAAAAUGACUACUGUAAUAUUUUGUCUAUAUCGCUAUUAGUCUACAUCGCAAACGGUCUGGAACGCAAAAUGACCACAACAUUUUAUAUAGGUAGGUUAGGUUCGUUAGGUAUAUUCAAAUGGCCGAAGGCCAAACAGUACAGAAUAGGAGCCCCGCGGAAGCGGGGCUCCGUCGACAUCGCUAUAAAGUUAAGAUAAAACGGGAAAAAUUAUGUGGGCAUUUUGCGUUCUAGUCCGUUAGAGCGGUAGACUAUAACCGAUGUAGGUAAAAUAUUACACUAGUCAUUUUGCGUUCUAGACCGUCCGCGAAUAACCCUUCCUACUUAACUUUAAUUAUUAGCUGUCUUGGUUUAUGAUUGCCUAAGUUUGUAAAUAGUGUUAUUUGGAAUAAAAUUCCACGUUUAAUACACCAUAAGAAGUGAAAAUUCCUUAGAUUUGAUGUUAGUACUUAAUUGUCGUAGGUAUAAAACUAAACAUAUAUUAUAUAAGCGUAGAUAGUUCCGAAAAUGUACAGAUAGCACAUAGUCUUAGGGUUUUUUGUCUUUAGGGUUCCGUACACUAAGGAAGUUUGUUUAUCGUAUUUCUAGAGUAUUUCUUUUAUAUUAUGUCGUAGUACUAUUUAGAUUGAGGAUAUGAUAAAAGGGAUCUCUUCAUUACCUUCCGAGACCCAGAAGCAGAUGUUUUGUUUUUGAAUUCGGAACACUUAGUUACUCUAAAGUUCAACAUAGAUCGUGGAAUACGUACAAUAAUUUGCACGCGGGGUCUUAGGAGGUUACUCAAGUAUAACUCGUGUUUGGGAGUUUUCAGAAAAAAGUGUGUGUUACAAUUACUGAUCUGGUGUCUGAAAGUUUAAAAAACUUUUUAACAAAAAAUAUAACCGACUUCAAAUAUGACCCAAAGCGUCAUACAUGUACCUAUAACAUUUGAAGAGUUCCCUCGAUUUCUCCAAGAUCCCAUCAUCAGACCCCGACUUGGUGCCAACGGGACCAUCUCGGGGUUAUACCCGUUCGAUUAAAAAAAAAUUUGAAAAUCGGUUCAUGAUUCUCGGAGAUAUCGGGUAUAACAUACAUACAAAAUAAAACAGUCGAAUUGAGAACCUCCUCCUUUUUUGAAGUCGGUUAAAAAUUGCGAAAUUUCCACAACAAAAAUUUGGGAAAUCUGCAUACUUACGUAUGGGGAUUGAAAUUUUCCGUUACCGAAACGAGAGUAACCUUUGUAUUAUUACAUUUUAGUAAAUAUUCCCCAACUGGCACAUCUGUAGUUACUUUAAGUAUGUUGUAAUGAACGGGUUCAAGAGUGUAUUCAUCUUUGAGAAUUUAACAAUUGGGGACGCCUCGUCUCUAAUUUUCUGCACAAAACAGUCUGCCGAUUUUGCCGGGGGAGGGGCACGUCAGACCAUGCAAUACAUAUGACCAUUGGCCGAGAUUUUCAUCUUUGAGGAUUGAACAAUUGGGGACGCCUCGUCUCUAAUUUUCUGCACAAAACAGUCUGCCGAUUUUGCCGGGGGAGGGGCACGUCAGACCAUGCAAUACAUAUGACCAUUGGCCGAGAUUUUCAUCUUUGAGGAUUGAACAAUUAGGGACGCCUUGUCUCUAAUUUUCUGCACAAAACAGUCUGCCGAUUUUGCCGGGGGAGGGGCACGUCAGACCAUGCAAUACAUAUGACCAUUGGCCGAGAUUUGACAGAGGGGUAAGCUCUUAAAGGCGACUCCAGUUGUUAAAUCCAACAUGUGUAUAAGUGAGAUAUUAUUUGCGUGUGUAAAUGGAAGAUUGAACGCUAAUGUACAGUCAAAGAUUUAAUUUGAUACCCAUUUUGUACGUUGCCUCAGUGCCAGUAGUAUGAGGUCUCUUGCGACUUUCGUGUUGUUUGUCACAAGGUACGAAAUGGGUCGCAAAUUGAAUCUAUUGACUGUAUCAGUUAUAUAUAUAAUAUAUAUAUUUUUAAAAUAAUAAUUGUUAUUUAGAAAUCUAGGUUACGAAUAUAAAGGCAUGGUGUCUGUUCAAAAUAAUCAGUAAUUACAUCCAAUAUUAUUUCCUUUCGUGUUUAAAGUACAACAUUAACUUUUAACUAAAUUAUUUACUAAUUAUAAUGAUCUUUCUGUCUGGAUCCAUGCCUUUUUUAUCAUAUUAUAAUGUGUACUAUAAUCUUACAGUAAGUAUAUCUUUAGCUGUUGUAGGCUAGGUUUAACCGUAGGUAAGACAAGACGGGUUUUCUCUUUAUACCUUUUUUGUUAGUUUAGUUUUUUAUUGUCUCCCAAUAAAUCAUAAAGCAGAUGACCGUGGUGCGGUGCCGAAGUAUCUCUAAGUGUACCUAAUAAAGAGUUGUUUGUUUCCGUAGUAUUAGCCUCCGGUCCUUAAAUAAUGGUAAUAAAAGCACCUGAUUCACAUGCAAAUAAAUUUAGUUUAGCCAUACAAAAGGAGGAAUUGUAUUUAAGUACAUGUUAUACCUAGAUAUUUUUGUAGCACGAACGUUGACGUCUAAGUGUUUGACAAAAUAAAAACAUCGACAGUCCUGUUAUCGAUAAGUGCCACUUCAACGUGAUAGAGGUAAUACAAAGAAAAAUAUAGGGUAAUAGGUUGCGUUAAAAAUAGAUAAUAGUAACAAAACUAUAAAUUUAUUUAUAUUUUACAUACUUUAGAAAACAAAUUGAAACCCUUUUGUAACUUUCUUUCUUCGUGUAUCUGAAUUAAUUCUCCCAUAAGUCACUUCAUGAUAAACACACACCCAAAUUGUCUUUCAAAUUGACGCAAAAUGAUACAACAUGUAGUAUAUUAAACCCAUUUUUGAUCCCAUAGCAAAUCUGUGUCUGUGUCUCUGUAUAUGGCUACAGUGUAGGUGUAUCUUAGUUUUUUAUUAUUAACAGUAUCGCACUGAUGUAUUAAUGACCCUCUUUCUCUUUUACUUAAAUAUGUAUACUUCGUUGAAGUAGUAAGUAUGUAUUUAUCGAUAACAAGAUUGUCGAUAUUUUUAUUGUGGUAAGCACUAAGCAAAUUCUGUUCCUGCUAGAAAAAUAUCUAGGUAUAACAUGUAAGUACUUAUCAUAGCUACGUAUCAAAAGCAUAGGACAUACCUUUUAAUAUAAGAUAAAUCUCAAAUUGUGCUAGUUUUUGACAUAUAAGUAGUACAUCAGUGUACAACUGUACAGUCACCAUCGCAUAUAUCGGAGCAGCCGGGGUGCUCGAAAAUAUCUGACCACGGACUCUUGUCGAUCGUGUUUAGAUAUUUGUGAGCACCUUGGCCGGUCCAAUAUAUGUGACGGUGACUGUUCGAGAAAGUCACAACAACGAUCUUUAGUUUAAGCUACUUGACGAUGUUUAAGAUGCUAUUGAAAUCGUGCGAUUGUUAUAUCUUUUAAAAUCCUCAUCGAAAAGUAAACGAAUUUAAAUAGUUAUGUUUUGUCCAUUGUGUAACAGAAGUGGCGCAUAUUAUUACUUUGUUGCACAAAGGACUCCGUUCAAUUGUAGAGUAACUCGUAAAUCUGAAUGCAUAUUAAAACAUAUAUUUAUAACCGUGUCUACGCGACGCGACGUUUCAACGCAGGUUUCACUGGUCGUGGUCGCGUAAUAGGUGGGAUUCAAGGGGUGGUCGUAGUCGCGUAAUAGGUGGGAUUCGGGGGGUGGUCGUGGUCGCGCAAUAGGUGGGAUUCAAGGGGUGGUCGUGGUCGCGUAAUAGGUGGGAUUCGGGUGAUGGUCGUAAAAAUAUAGCUAACAAAAUUAAUUCGCUAAAGAAUCGGUUAUAAACAUGUUUCAAUAUGUGUUUAAAACGCGAAACUUUAAAAUGUUAUAAUCUCAAUUAAGUUUAUGUGCGGAGUAAAACCGUUCUUUUCGCACAAAAUGUUAUGUUGUUACAAUGUUAACUAGCGAGUACCUUAGGUUGGCCAAAGUUAAUAUAAUAUAUGUUACAUUUAAUUUAGAUACAAUUAUCCAGAGUAAUACAAUUAUUAUUUAGGUGGUUUCUCUGUCAAACGGGUCACGUUGGUUUAUUAUAGAAUGUUUUAGAUAGUUCGUUGUAAUUUUAGUAUUAGAAGGCAGACCACUAAAACGGUGUUUUUAUGUUGCCAUAUUAAAUAUUAAAAAAAAUGUGUAAAAAAAGGAUUAAAAAAUAAUAUGUGACAUGUAAUUGGAUAAUAUUGUUGAUUUGUCUUUUGUUCAGUUCAGUUUCAUAUGUUAAAUAAUAAUAUGUAUCUUUUAGAAUACAUUUAAGAUUGAUUUUAUUUUAUUUUCUGUAAAAUCUUUAUUUACAUGCCAUUUCGUAAUUAGGUUUUACAUUUAAAAUAGUACUUAAUGUAUUAGAUUAAGCUCUCUGUAAGGAAAAAUCAUUAUUUUGAUAAAAUUCAACUUUUUGAAACUUAAAAAAACUAUAUUCUCACACAAAUAGGAAUGUAGCGACCAAGCAUUCCAUCUGCACUCCGGUAGGAAUAACGAUAUUAGAUGUAUCUGUAAUUAUAAUUAUAAAUUUAACUGUCAUAUUUACAUCUUGAAGAGCGCAUGUAAGAUCUGAUAUUGCAUCGCCCCAGCAAUUUUAGAUCGAAUCACUCCGAGGACUCGACUGUGUUUCACACCCAUUCGCUACACAAAAGGUUUUUAUAUUGUGUAGCGAAUGGGUGUGAAACUUAACGUUCAUAUUCGGCUAAAUACACCCACAGUUUAUUUCCUUUGUGUAACGAAAUUUCGUGAUUCAAUUAUAUAUUAUUUAUUUAUUAUUAUCAAUACACAGUACAGAGCUUAUAAGUAAACUGGUCCCUGCAAAACUGUGUUUACAGUUUGCCUGCAGGCAGAAGUCUAUCGAAUGAAUCUACUUUACUAUGUAAAAUUUUGUUUUAAUGCAUACAAAUAUAAACGAUAUCAGGGCAAAAUGUGUACUCAUAUAUACUUAUAUUAUAUAUACUUAGGAAGUGAAUUAUAAAAAAAAAAACACGGGUUGCACUUUGGGAGUGCCGGCAGAAGUGAACAAUUGAAUAUUGACGUUGUGCAUUUUUGAUAUUUUGGAAUGGUUAGGGAAUAAUUUUGCACGAAUUCUUUUAAUUAUCAGUAUAAAAGUACUAUCAUUUAUGUGGUAAAAUACAAUAUUCAUUUAUUGCGGUCUACUGGCUUCAAUGAAAUUGUAACAGUUUUUCGAUCCGGUCACGUGUCCGUCUUACGAAUUUUCAAUCUGUCGAAUCUGUCGGUCACGUGACCUGUCGCGAGUUUAACAUUUUUUCCUCAAACCUAAAAGUGCACAGCGCCGCUAAAGAAGUUUUAACUUAAAAAAUAGAAAGAGCCCAUGUAGUCGAGUCCUUGAAGUGGUUGUGAAAGUAUUAUAAUGGUGAAUGAGUUUUGACGUCACAGAGAGAGAGUCAAAUGCAAUUUCAUAGAAUUUCAUAAGGUAAAAUUACAUUGUGUUGUGUAACGGGAUGUUUCAUCAAAUGUAAAAUGUACACAUUUUGUAUAAUACGUACGAGUAUUUAGUCUAUAUCACGUUUUACUGAAGAUUCAUUUAACACUGAUGUAUUUCAUUAAUGUGUCUACUUACAUAUGAUUACCUUAUUGAAAUUAAAUACUGUAGACCAGGACUACCUACUAGGGAUGAAAAUUUCGGAGAAAAUCAAUUUUUUUUCAGGAAGUUUAGCAAAUUUCGUUUUUUUCUUGUUUUAUUCAGAAAAAUUAAAUACGUCAUACACAAUAAUGCCCCUGAUGAGUGAUGACAGUGUCAAAUAUACAAAAUGCCAGAAACUAACCGUAACCAUCCUGUUAAAAUUUCCAAUUAAAUUCAUUUGGAAAAAUACAGAGAACUUUUAAAAAAACUUGUUUUUCUGGCUUUAUUCGUUUUUCCGGAAGUAUUGUAACUGAAAUUUGCAUUGUUUUUUUCGAAAGAAACUUGAAAAAAAACCGAGUCGUUUCAUCGAUCAUUAAUCAUUUUAUGGAAAAGAGAAUCUUCAGUGAUACGUGAUAAGGACUAAAUAAGUACUUAGUACAUAUUAACAACGAUUUUCAUUAUUACAUAAAUAAUUAACAAUUAUAUAUACAUCCCUGUUUAUCAAUAUUCAUGGUCACCCUACUAGUCACGUGUCUUAAUUGCAAUGUGAACAACGUAAUGUUAUGUCCAUAUUCAUUUUAACGUUUCCAGUGAGCAAAAUAGCUAUUUUUUGGACAUAAAAUUACGUUGUUCACAUUGCAAUUAAGACACGUGACUACUUAGAAUUAAAUAAUUUGAUUAAAUUUUCCAAUAGUCCGUGAAAGUUCUAUGUAACAAAUAGGGUAACCAUGAGGUUCAGUAAAUGUAAGAUAAAAUAUUAAUUAAUUAUAACAAAAUACCUUUACAGAUUUUUGAAUAUUCUUACGUAAAGCCCGACCAAUAUAUGAUCACGCGCCAUAUUGCGGAAUUUCAUUGGAACUAAAAUUUUCAUACUAAACUGAACUGUCAUCCUAUACAUGAGAAUAACAGCGCCCUCUUGGCAAUGAUCAUAUAUUUCUGGUCGGGCUUUACAAGUGUUUGUACUAAAUAUAAUUCAGAGUAAAACACAUAUUUCUGAUAACGACUUAUGAAUCACCCUAAUAUAACACUUAACAUACUUAACAUAGAAAACACCCAUGGCUCGGGAACAAAUAUCAUUGAUGUGCCAAAGUUAAAAGCAGCAUAUAUUUUGUCUCUCCUGUGGCGUGGGUUCGGGAUAAGGCUGUGAGCUGUAUAAUGUGUAAGAUGGUAUUAUACGUCGGGUUUUAUUAUACAAAA